rnacentral:rRNA from 1 species
UACAGAGGGUGCGAGCGUUAAUCGGAAUUACUGGGCGUAAAGCGUGCGUAGACGGUUAUUUAAGUCGGGUGUGAAAGCCCCGGGCUCAACCUGGGAAUUGCAUUCGAGACUGAAUAGCUAGGGUACGGUAGAGGGAAGUGGAAUUUCCGGUGUAGCGGUGAAAUGCGUAUAUAUCGGAAGGAACAUCAGUGGCGAAAGCGACUUCCUGGACCAGUACCGACGUUCAGGCACGAAAGCGUGGGGAGCAAACAGG